rnacentral:rRNA from 1 species
CUACGUGCCAGCAGCCGCGGUAAUACGUAUGUCACAAGCGUUAUCCGGAUUUAUUGGGCGUAAAGCGCGUCUAGGUGGUUAUGUAAGUCUGAUGUGAAAAUGCAGGGCUCAACUCUGUAUUGCGUUGGAAACUGCAUGACUAGAGUACUGGAGAGGUAAGCGGAACUACAAGUGUAGAGGUGAAAUUCGUAGAUAUUUGUAGGAAUGCCGAUGGGGAAGCCAGCUUACUGGACAGAUACUGACGCUAAAGCGCGAAAGCGUGGGUAGCAAACAGGAUUAGAUACCCUGGUAGUCCACGCUGUAAACGAUGAUUACUAGGUGUUGGGGGUCGAACCUCAGCGCCCAAGCAAACGCGAUAAGUAAUCCGCCUGGGGAGUACGUACGCAAGUAUGAAACUCAAAGGAAUUGACGGGGACCCGCACAAGCGGUGGAGCAUGUGGUUUAAUUCGACGCAACGCGAGGAACCUUACCAGCGUUUGACAUC